rnacentral:sRNA from 1 species
GGUUUAAUUGUCCGAGUUUGAGGUAAUUGAAUGUGUCGCCCCAGAGUUUGGGCUUUUGUGGGUGGGGGUAGAGUUUUGGAGCGUCUCUGCAGGCCUGUGAGAGGACAAA